rnacentral:rRNA from 1 species
AGAGCGAACGCUGGCGGCAGGCUUAACACAUGCAAGUCGAACGCAUCACUUCGGUGGUGAGUGGCAGACGGGUGAGUAACACGUGGGAACGUACCCUUCGGUUCGGAACAACUCUGGGAAACUGGAGCUAAUACCGGAUACGCCCUUUUGGGGAAAGGUUUACUGCCGAAGGAUCGGCCCGCGUCUGAUUAGCUAGUUGGUGGGGUAACGGCCUACCAAGGCGACGAUCAGUAGCUGGUCUGAGAGGAUGAUCAGCCACAUUGGGACUGAGACACGGCCCAGACUCCUACGGGAGGCAGCAGUGGGGAAUAUUGCGCAAUGGGCGGAAGCCUGACGCAGCGACGCCGCGUGGGGGAUGAAGGCCUUCGGGUUGUAAACCCCUUUCAGCAGGGACGAAGCGCAAGUGACGGUACCUGCAGAAGAAGCGCCGGCUAACUACGUGCCAGCAGCCGC